AUCCAGCUGAUGAGUCUUAAAUAAGACGAAACACAUGUCUUGGAU
rfam:Schistosoma mansoni strain Puerto Rico chromosome 6, complete genome